rnacentral:rRNA from 1 species
AUUGAACGCUGGCGGCAUGCCUAACACAUGCAAGUCGAACGAGUGGCGGACGGGUGAGUAAUGUAUUGGAAACUACCUGAUGAUGGGGGAUAACCACUGGAAACGGUAGCUAAUACCGCAUACUAUUCGAGUUGCCCAUAUUGGAUUAGCUAGUUGGUGGGGUAACGGCCCACCAAGGCGACGAUCCGUAGCGGGUCUGAGAGGAUGACCAGCAACACUGGAACUGAGACACGGCCCAGACUCCUACGGGAGGCAGCAGUGGGGAAUAUUGGACAAUGGGCGCAAGCCUGAGGCAGCCAUGCCGCGUGUAUGAAGAAGGCCUUCGGGUUGUAAAGGACUUUCAUCGGGGAGGCGUUACCCGAAGAAGAAGCACCGGCUAACUACGUGCCAGCAGCCGCGGUAAUAC